GAUGAACGCUGGCGGCGUGCCUAAUACAUGCAAGUCGAACGCACAGCGAAAGGUGCUUGCACCUUUCAAGUGAGUGGCGAACGGGUGAGUAACACGUGGACAACCUGCCUCAAGGCUGGGGAUAACAUUUGGAAACAGAUGCUAAUACCGAAUAAAACUUAGUGUCGCAUGACAAAAAGUUAAAAGGCGCUUCGGCGUCACCUAGAGAUGGAUCCGCGGUGCAUUAGUUAGUUGGUGGGGUAAAGGCCUACCAAGACAAUGAUGCAUAGCCGAGUUGAGAGACUGAUCGGCCACAUUGGGACUGAGACACGGCCCAAACCCCUACGGGAGGCUGCAGUAGGGAAUCUUCCACAAUGGGCGAAAGCCUGAUGGAGCAACGCCGCGUGUGUGAUGAAGGCUUUCGGGUCGUAAAGCACUGUUGUAUGGGAAGAACAGCUAGAAUAGGAAAUGAUUUUGGUUUGACGGUACCAUACCAGAAAGGGACGGCUAAAUACGUGCCAGCAGCCGCGGUAAUACGUAUGUCCCGAGCGUUAUCCGGAUUUAUUGGGCGUAAAGCGAGCGCAGACGGUUUAUUAAGUCUGAUGUGAAAGCCCGGAGCUCAACUCCGGAAUGGCAUUGGAAACUGGUUAACUUGAGUGCAGUAGAGGUAAGUGGAACUCCAUGUGUAGCGGUGGAAUGCGUAGAUAUAUGGAAGAACACCAGUGGCGAAGGCGGCUUACUGGACUGCAACUGACCUUGAGGCUCGAAAGUGUGGGGUACCAAAACAGGGAUUAGGUACCCCUGGUAGUCCACACCGUAAACGAUGAACACUAGGUGUUAGGAGGUUUCCGCCUCUUAGUGCCGAAGCUAACGCAUUAAGUGUUCCGCCUGGGGAGUACGACCGCAAGGUUGAAACUCAAAGGAAUUGACGGGGACCCGCACAAGCGGUGGAGCAUGUGGUUUAAUUCGAAGCAACGCGAAGAACCUUACCAGGUCUUGACAUCCUUUGAAGCUUUUAAAGAUAGAAGUGUUCUCUUCGGAGACAAAGUGACAGGUGGUGCAUGGUCGUCGUCAGCUCGUGUCGUGAGAUGUUGGGUUAAGUCCCGCAACGAGCGCAACCCUUAUUGUUAGUUGCCAGCAUUCAGAUGGGCACUCUAGCGAGACUGCCGGUGACAAACCGGAGGAAGGCGGGGACGACGUCAGAUCAUCAUGCCCCUUAUGACCUGGGCUACACACGUGCUACAAUGGCGUAUACAACGAGUUGCCAACCCGCGAGGGUGAGCUAAUCUCUUAAAGUACGUCUCAGUUCGGAUUGUAGUCUGCAACUCGACUACAUGAAGUCGGAAUCGCUAGUAAUCGCGGAUCAGCACGCCGCGGUGAAUACGUUCCCGGGUCU
rnacentral:rRNA from 1 species